rnacentral:rRNA from 1 species
UACGAAGGGGGCAAGCGUUGUUCGGAAUUACUGGGUGUAAAGCGCACGUAGGCGGAUUUGUUAGUCAGGGGUGAAAUCCCGGGGCUCAACCAUGGAACUGCCUUUGAUACUGCAAGGCUCGAGUCCGGAAGAGGUGAGUGGAAUGCCGAGUGUAGAGGUGAAAUUCGUAGAUAUUAGGAGGAACACCAGUGGCGAAGGCGGCUCUCUGGGCCGGUACUGACGCUGAGGGGCGAAAGCGUGGGGAGCAAACAGG